UACAAAAAUUGGAAUACGGAAGGGUGUGCCUCACUACACAGGAACCUUGGAAGUGGGUCUAAAAAUGGGGAAAAUUAUGUCGUGAUACAAUGGCCUUCUCAGAAGCAACAAACCUCUCCAUUGCAGACUCUGUCCAAUGAUGUAACAGAAGCAGAACAUAUCCUGUUGAUGGGAGGGUAGACGACUACCACUUAAGUCAUCAUUUUCUUUCAUUGUUUCAAUCUUGUUUUUGGCC